rfam:Ovis aries breed Texel chromosome 2, whole genome shotgun sequence.
UCCCUGGUGGCUCAGAGGUUAAAGCGUCUGCUUGCAACGCAGAAGACCUGGGUUCGAUUCCCGGGUUGGGAA